UCCCGUCCCGUGCUGGCCCCGCACGCACCUGCCAGCACGGCCAGCGCGGCGAUCAGCGCCACAGCGCGCAUCGUCGGUCCCGUGAAGGGCGGCGACGGAGGCAGAGAGGGAAGGGGAAGGAAUAUCGCGACAGAUGCUCCCAGUGUCUUUGCCGGGUCGUGCCAAUCCCAAGAAGUGAUGCCCAAGAGGUCUGGAAAAGAAGAUGCUGAAUCAGUCACUCGGAUGUUAACCUGGGACACACAGCCCCGGCAAACCUCCGGCAGUCCCUUUGUGCACGGCGCAAUUAAAACUGACUGGCAAUA